UACGGGGGAUGUAAGCGUUAUCCGGAUUUAUUGGGUUUAAAGGGUGCGUAGGCUGUGAGGUAAGUCAGCGGUGAAAUGCCCCCGCUCAACGGGGUGAAGUGCCAUUGAUACUGCCUUGCUGGAAUGCGGAUGCCGUGGGAGGAAUGUGUGGUGUAGCGGUGAAAUGCAUAGAUAUCACACAGAACACCGAUUGCGAAGGCAUCUCACGAAUCCGCGAUUGACGCUGAUGCACGAAAGCGUGGGUAUCAAACAGG
rnacentral:rRNA from 1 species